GUUUAUCAUGAAUGCAGGAUGUGAACAAAGUCACACUGCACCUGCCGCCAGAAGGUUUGCUGAGGGCCAUCACUCCCUGGCGCCGGGCUUCUUGAAGUUAUCUAAUGGGAAAUGUAGUGCCUAUUGUUUGAAGGAUGCAGUCUCACAAGCCUGCUGUGAACCAAAUGGCCGAGUGACAAUUACCUGACAAUCACCUCCCCUUUCUCGUUAUCUCUUUUACCUAAUAAAUUUGGAAGGCUGAAAAAGCUCAGGGCCCUUGUCCACUAGAGGCAAGGUGCCCCUUUACCCCUUCUUCCAAAUAUACUCUUUUGUCUUUGUCUUUUAUUCCCGCGUUCAUCUUCCUUUGUUCAGUCCACCAGGGAUUGUGGUCAGUUACACUAUCUCACUUAAUUUUCACCAUCACUUAACUAGGUAGAUACUCUGAAUGCCCCUGUUAUUAUUAACACCCUUAUUCUACACUUGAAGGAGCUGAGGCUUUGAGAGGAUAAGCAAUUCAAGUCACACAAAGGCUGCAUGUUGUCCAGUUCCAGAGGGUACAAUCAUAUCAUCGACUAGGAGAUAGCACCCCUUGGAGGUGAGGAGUCCACACUUGGCACAGUUAACACAAUCGUCCUGUGGGUGACAUGCAGUGCUAACAUUCAGGUUCAGAUCCUUGUGACUCUAGACACCAGGUGCUCUCUGUGCUAUAUAUAAAAGAAGUUGGAGGCCCUGUUGUAAGGAACGAACACAAUUCCUAAUUCUAGAGGACAGAAAAGUAAGUCCUGUUAACAGCCUUCAACGUGGAAUCUGUAGAGAACUUGUAUUAUCUCAGGAUCUUCUCAUUUGAAAAUGAAAAUGGUCACACCCACCCUUUUCUUAUGAUGCAAAUCACUGGUCAGUAUUUUCAUUUUCCAGCAGUCUUCAAAGCUGUAAUCCAGAAGGACAAUACUGAUUUAUGCUUAAUUCUAUAUUAUUAUUAAGGGACAAAGUCUAAAGAAUCUCCUAUGUUUGUGUUUCUAACAAUGAAAAUGCAAUGGUUUUAAAUUUACACAUUUCAUUUCAGCAUAUUUGUUUGGAGACUCUUGAACCUUAAGUUGACUGGAAGCAUACAGUGAAUGUGUUCUUAUAAUUUAUUCCAUUCCAUUUCCUGGUUAGCUAUCUAAAUUUUUGGCCUUUGGACUUUCACAUUAAACACAAUAGUCUACACAAUGCCGUAACAGCGUUCAUCGCCUUUCAAAGCUAAGAAUAGACAAUAAAUAGUCUGGCGUUUUAAUUAGACCCUUGCCUUCGUGUGCAUUUCAGCUCCAUUCUAGCAAAGCUGAAUUAUAGAUGAGCGUUUGAUGCGACUUCAAAUAUCCCCAUUUCUUCAAUUGUAUCACAAUAGACAAAACAGAAAUGCAGGAUGAGAGCAGUUUUGUUCAUUUCUUUUCUUAAAUCAUAUCUUGCUAUUUUUUCCUUACAGCUAUUUCAAUUCAAUAAAUGUUUCCUAUUCUUCCAGCAGUGCAAUGAUGCUUUUCAGUAGAGUACCUGUCCUCUUAAUACAUAGUUAUUUUCUAAAAUGUUGCUAUUAGAAAAUGAGAUAAUGAGUCCAAUUUUCCCAGUCUCUCUGUCUCUCUCUCGUGUCUCUCACACCUGACAGAUGGGUGCUCAUGGUGCUGUACCUGGGCUGCCCUCCUAGGAACCUGGGACCAGCUGACAUAACCCCCUCUCAGAACAUGGAGCUGAAUAGGAGAAUUCACAGCCAGCUGCCUUGGACUAACCUACAUCAAACCUGGGCAGAUUAUCCAAUUGGAUUAUUGGUUCAAGAAGGCUAGACAGAGAGAUGAGGAUCUAGGAGGGAGAUAAUAGGUUGAAUAAACCCGGGAGAUUAGGUGAAUGCUUGAUCAUUUGAAGCAAAUGGCAGGGGUCAGAUCUAGAAAUUACUGAAGCCUUGUUGUGAUGCACGUUAUAUUACAAAUACAGGCAAGACUUGAUUUUCCUACCCUCAGAAAAGGUCAGAUAAUGAGAUAACUGCAGUCUGGGGUGACAUGUUAGAAUAAAGGUGUGCACAAGCUAUUGUGAAGGAAAUUAAAUUACCUAAGGAAGAUGGGAGCAGGAGGAAGGUCAGGGGCUGUUUAAUAAGAAAGGAUACAUGGGAGCUGAGUCCUGAUGGAUGAAUAAUCUUUUCAAUCAGCAGGAAAGAAGGGAAAACAUUCCAGAGAGGAGCAACCCAGUGCAAAAUCACCAAGUUUUCAUAUAGCAAAUGGAGAUGACAAGGAUUUGGGGGUGGCUGUAAAUAAGGUGACAAUGAAGGAGAUCCAAGAACUGAUACUGGCAAGGUGGGAAGGACCCAGUACAUAAAGGGACAUCUGUUUUAUAUUCAAAAGUUAGGAUUUUAUCUGUGUGUAGUGGGAAUCAUUAAAGAUCUAAAGGUAGGGAAGAGAGAUAAAUUGUUGCUUAGAAAGCCCACAUUGACACCCAUGUGGAGGAUGCCACAGAAGGACCUGACAUUAGAGAAGGGAGGUUAGUUUAUAGGCAUUUGCAAUGCUGUCAAGAGAUGAAAAAGAUCUGGACCAAGAUAGUGGCAAUAGUAGGUAAGAGACACAUUUGAGAAAUAUUUUGGAGAUAGAAUUUUGAAAACAGGUCAAGGUUGAGUCCCAGAUUUUGGAUGGGUGAAGGGAACACAGGAAGAGAAGUGGUUUGAAGUGUGGUCAGGAGGGAUGAACCAAAUGAAUUGGUUUUAGAGUUUUUGAAUUUUCAGAGCUCUAAGGAGUUCUGGAGGAUAUUUCCAAGAGCAGAAUGGACCUCAGGAGAGGGGUGAUCCUGUAGAUAAAUAGGAGCAUCAACUCAC
rnacentral:lncRNA from 10 species